AAGUCGUAACAAGGUUUCCGUAGGUGAACCUGCGGAAGGAUCAUUGCAAAAAGAGUGAGAGAUAGUUGUUGUAAUGUGCAGAAAUAGAUUUAUUGACAAUUCUUUUACAAAUUUUUACAACUCUCCACAAUGGAUCUCUGGGCUCUU
rnacentral:misc_RNA from 1 species